GAACUGCGAUAAGUAAUGUGAAUUGCAGAAUUCAGUGAAUCAUCGAGUCUUUGAACGCAUAUUGCGCCCCCUGGCAUUCCGGGGGCAUGCCUGUCCGAGCGUCAUUGCUGCCCUUCAAGCCCGGCUUGUGUGUUGGGUCGUCGUCCCCCUCGGGGGACGGGCCCGAAAGGCAGCGGCGGCACCGUGUCCGGUCCUCGAGCGUAUGGGGCUUUGUCACCCGCUCGAUUAGGGCCGGCCGGGCGCCAGCCGGCGUCUCCAACCUUAUUUUUCUCAGGUUGACCUCGGAUCAGGUAGGGAUACCCGCUGAACUUAAGC
rnacentral:misc_RNA from 1 species